rnacentral:sRNA from 1 species
UUUACCUUUUAAACAUCCGGCUGCCUGUGAAUGAGAAGAAGAAAAUCAAUGUGGGAAUUGGGGAGAUAAAGGAUAUCCGGUUGGUGGGGAUCCACCAAAAUGGAGGCUUCACCAAGGUGUGGUUUGCCAUGAAGACCUUCCUUACGCCCAGCAUCUUCAUCAUUAUGGUGUGGUAUUGGAGGAGGAUCACCAUGAUGUCCCGACCCCCAGUGCUUCUGGAAAAAGUCAUCUUUGCCCUUGGGAUUUCCAUGACCUUUAUCAAUAUCCCAGUGGAAUGGUUUUCCAUCGGGUUUGACUGGACCUGGAUGCUGCUGUUUGGUGACAUCCGACAGGGCAUCUUCUAUGCGAUGCUUCUGUCCUUCUGGAUCAUCUUCUGUGGCGAGCACAUGAUGGAUCAGCACGAGCGGAACCACAUUGCAGGGUAUUGGAAGCAAGUCGGACCCAUUGCCGUUGGCUCCUUCUGCCUCUUCAUAUUUGACAUGUGUGAGAGAGGGGUACAACUCACGAAUCCCUUCUACAGUAUCUGGACUACAGACAUUGGAACAGAGCUGGCCAUGGCCUUCAUCAUCGUGGCUGGAAUCUGCCUCUGCCUCUACUUCCUGUUUCUAUGCUUCAUGGUAUUUCAGGUGUUUCGGAACAUCAGUGGGAAGCAGUCCAGCCUGCCAGCUAUGAGCAAAGUCCGGCGGCUACACUAUGAGGGACUAAUUUUUAGGUUCAAGUUCCUCAUGCUUAUCACCUUGGCCUGCGCUGCCAUGACUGUCAUCUUCUUCAUCGUUAGUCAGUUUAUGGACCCCUUGAAUUCUAUCCAAGGACACCCAAGGGGGCCCCAAGUUUGGAGCCUCUAGAGCCCUGUUGUUGGCUCUGCCACUGGGGAGUGUUAGUGUUGCUAGCUCUGCUGAGGUUGAAAUGAACAUGGAAAAAAUAAACUGAUAUACAUAUAUGUCUUUGUAAGUUCUGUUCACCACAUCUGCUUUGACCCAUAACACUGCUGUGUUUGUAUCAGGUUGUUUAUAAAACCUUGGAAACUUCGCUUUCCACUCC